GCCCAUAUAGCUCAGGGGUAGAGCACUUCCUUGGUAAGGAAGAGGUCAUCGGUUCAAUUCCGAUUAUGGGCUCCA
rnacentral:tRNA from 2 species